GGAUAACUGUAGUAAUUCUAGAGCUAAUACAUGCAAAAAAACCUGGACUUUUACAGAACAGGUGUACUUAUUAGACUUUAAAACCGAUUACAAUUUAUUGUAAAUUUAAAAUGAAUUAAAAUAAGUUUAUGAAUCGCAGAUCAUUUUGUGAUGAUAAGAAUGAAUUUCUGCCCUAUCAACUUUCGAUGGUAAUGUAGUGGAUUACCAUGGUGAUGACGGGUAACGGGGAAUUAGGGUUUGAUUCCGGAGAAAAGGCCUGAGAGACGGCCAUUACUUCUAAGGAAGGCAGCAGGCGCGUAAAUUACCCAAUCCUAAUACGGGGAGGUAGUGACAAGAAAUAUUGAUAUUGGACCCAAAGGGUACAAUGAUUGAAAUGAGAACAAUAUAAAAAAACUUAACGACUAACAAUUGGAGGGCAAGUCUGGUGCCAGCAGCCGCGGUAAUUCCAGCUCCAAGAGUGUAUAUUAAAGUUGUUGCGGUUAAAAAAGCUCGUAGUUGAA
rnacentral:rRNA from 1 species